UACGUAGGGGGCAAGCGUUGUCCGGAUUUAUUGGGCGUAAAGAGCGUGUAGGCGGCCAUGCAGGUCAGCUGUGAAAACUCGAGGCUCAACCUCGAGACGUCGGUUGAAACCGUAUGGCUAGAGUCCGGAAGAGGAGAGUGGAAUUCCCGGUGUAGCGGUGAAAUGCGCAGAUAUCGGGAAGAACACCCGUGGCGAAGGCGGCUCUCUGGGACGGUACUGACGCUGAGACGCGAAAGCGUGGGGAGCGGACAGG
rnacentral:rRNA from 1 species